GUGUAGGGGUGGAAUCUAAGGUUUCUGGAUGUCUUGGAGAGCUCUAGAUAUAACAUAUAUUUCUAUAUAUUAUAUAUACAUAUAUAUCCUUUAUUAGUAGUAUUUUCUACUACUGAUAGAAUGCAGUCUGAUUUAUUUAUUUCAAGUUUUUGAUACAGGAUCUCAUGUAGCCCAGGCUGGCAUCAAACUUUCUACUUAACCAAGGCUUGUCUUAAAUUCUAAUCUUGUCCUCACUUCCUAAAUGCUGGGUUUAUGGGUGGGGUCAGAGGCAAAAUUACAGGUGGGGUUAUAGGGGUUAUAGGUGGGGUAACAGGUGGGAUUCCAGAUGGGAUUAUAAGUGGGGUUACAGAUGGGAUUCCAGGUGGGGUAACAGGUGGGAUUCCAGGUGGGAUUAUAAAUGGGGUUACAGGUGAAAUUAUAAUGGGGUUAUAGGUGAGACUCCAGGACGUUACAGGAGGGAUUCCAGGUGGGAUUAUAAAUGGGGUUAUAGGCGGGAUUAUAGGUAGGUUUACAAAUGUGGUUACAAAUGUGGUUAGAGGCUGUGUUUAAGGGUUAGAGAUGUGCACUACCAGGCAUAGUUUUCAGCCUGACUCUUCAGUGAGGCACAGACAGAAGAACAAUGUCAUAUAAGAGCAAAAUGUUGACAAUAACCAUAAUCUAACUGCUGACAUCUCUACUCUUGGACUUUGGUGCUUGUGUGUGUGCCUGUGUGACCUGUUUGCCUAUGAGCCUGUACCUGUGUACCUGUGUGGCUGUGUGGCUGUGUGCCUGUGUGCCUGUGUGCCUGUGUGCCUGUGUGUCUUUGUGCCUGUAUGCUUAUGCCUGUGUGUCUUUGUGCCUGUAUGCUUAUGCCUGUGUGCCUGUGUACCUGUAUGCCUGUGUGCCUGUAUGCCUGUGUGCCUGUACCUGUGUACCUGUGUGCCUGUGUACCUAUGUGCCUGUAUCUUUGUGCCUGUGUGCCUAUAACUAUGUACCCAUGUGCCUGUGUGCCUGUGUACCUGUGUACCUGUGUGCCUGUGCCUGUGUGCCUGUGUGCCUGUGUGCUUGUGUGCCUGUAUGCCUGUGUGUCUUUGUGCCUGUAUGCUUAUGCCUGUGUGCCUGUGUGCCUGUGUGCCUGUGUGCCUGUGUGCCUGUACCUGUGUACCUGUGUGCCUGUGUACCUGUGUGCCUGUAUCUUUGUGCCUGUGUGCCUAUAACUGUGUACCCAUGUGCCUGUGUGCCUGUGUGCCUGUGUGCCUGUGUGCCUGUGUGCCUGUGUGCCUGUGUUCCUGUGUGUCUGUGUACCUGUGUGCCUGUGCCUGUAUGCCUAUACCUGUGUACCCAUGUGCCUGUGUGCCUGUACCUGUGUGCCUGUAUGCCUGUAUGCCUGUAUGCCUAUACGUGUGUACCCAUGUGCCUGUGUGCCUGUGUGCCUGUGUGCCUGUACCUGUGUGCCUGUGUGCCUGUAUACCUGUGUGCCUGUGUACCUGUGUGCCUGUGUGCCUGUAUGCCUGUGUACCUGUGUGCCUGUAUGCCUGUAUGCCUGUAUGCCUAUACCUGUGUACCCAUGUGCCUGUGUGCCUGUGUGCCUGUACCUGUGUGCCUGUGUGCCUGUAUGCCUGUGUGCCUGUGUGCCUGUAUGCCUGUGUGCCUAUACCUGUGGGCCUAUACCUUUGUGCCUGUGUGCCUGUGUGCCUGUGUGCCUGUGUGCCUGUGUGCAUGCAGGUGCAGCCUUAGGCAUCCUCAGGAAUCAUCCAUAUUGAUUUUUGAGAAAGGUCUCUUGCCGAGCCAGGAACUCAGGCAGCUGAACUGGCUGGCCUGCUUGUCUGAGGCAUCCAACCGUCUCUGCCAUCCCGGAGCUAGGAUUACAAAUGUGUGCCACCACAGUGGGCUUUUUACAUGGAUGCUUAGGAUCAAACCCAGGUCCCCACAUCCGUGGGACAACCAUGUUUCCGGCUGAGCCACACCCCCCUCCCCGCACCUGCUUUGAGAUUUUAAUGAAGUAAAGGGUUUCUGAACACAAACAUGGACCUCACAGCCUAGGUGACGGUGACGUCACACGCAGCACAGGCAGUCUGUACAUAGGAAGGGGUCCGGGAACUGGGUGGGAUAGAGCUGGGAAGGACUCGAUCUUCCCAGUACUCGAGUUUGUGAUUCUGGAAUUUUCCAUUUAGUAUUGUUGAACCAUCCCGGCCUGGAUGACUCAAACCACAGUGGAGCUGCGCAUACGGGAAGAUCGGUUUAUUAUUACUUUUUCUGGCUGAGGCAAAGAUAAGUUUGGGUUCCUCACAUGGUUAGGAAGGAUUUGAUGCCAAGGGUGCCCUCAGGAGGCCUGCAGCUUAGUGACAGGAUACUGCCCACGGUGAGGCUCAAAACCAUUUGUUUAUGAGCGUUACGGCAAGCUAAGAGCUAGGUCUGGGUCGUCCACAGCCCGAGACCUCCUCCCACCUAGGAACUUCCACAAAUGACUCAAGGCCCAACUCAAAUGUUCCCACCCCCAUGAGUGAAUUCGCCAAAUCCCUCCCAGGGAUCCUUCCUGUGUUCUUACACGGUCUCUCCUGGUCUCCACGUGGACCUGGGCAGGGUCCUGUGACUCCCUCAGCUGUCACGGAGCAUAGGGGAGGCUUUGGGUGAGCCCCUGCUUCAGGUAGGGACCUUGUUUGAUUGGGUGACUUCUGUCAUCCUGGGCCAGGGACAUUGCUGGAUAGCUUCUGUAGUCUGUGGAUGAUGUAAUCCUACUGUCUCCGGAGCUGGGCUGGUUUGGUCAUUACACUAGAAGGUCUGGAUUUCUCUCGAGGAAGCAGGAGUGCAUUCCCCCUCCCCCUGUAACCCUGUUCCUCCAGAAGACAGCCCCAGCUGUCAGGGCACAGCCAGGGUCAGCCUGACAUGGCUGAGAGUGAAUUUUCACUUUUCUGUGGCUCCCUAGAGUUUCCCCUGGAACACAGAUGCGGCACUGGCCCUGGGUGUCUCAUCAGAAGGACAUGCUGGCCCUGGGUGCCUCACCGGAACACAAGGCCCUGAAUAGCCCCAUGGGACCAGGCCCUAGUGCCAGCCACUUGCCAACUGGGCUCCUGUCUCUUCACUGUGUCUCUUGUUUUUGUCCUGGAGAGUAGAUAGUUUGGGGGGUGACGGGGCUGGAGGUCUGAGCCUCUGUCUUCUUCUACCUUUUGGCUUUCAGGCACUAGUGAGUCCCACCUUGGGAUUUUUUGGGUGGACCGCCCCUGUGCUUGUCUGGAACAAUCUUGUUCUGUUUCUGCAUCUGCUGCAGCGAAGGCUACCCCCACCCCCACCCUCUGGCAUGGAAUUUUCCCAGUUAUUUUUAAAUAAGUCCCGUUUAUUUGUGCUUAGAAUUCAGAUAAGAACCACCAGCCUCGCACAGAUGCGAAGCCCAAGCCGUGAAAGGCACAGCCAUGGCGGCCAUCGCCACGUCGUGUCUCUUCCCACACUCAGGCUGCUGGCGAAGGGAAACGUCCCAUUUUCCAUGUCUGAAAAGCGACAUGAGGACACAGCCUCCAACAGACAAGACGAGCCUCUCUGGAGAAAGCCAGGGAUGGAUGCUUCUGAGAGCUCAGCGGGAGGGCUCUGAACUGCAUCUGCUCAUUCUGAUUGAAAAUAUGUUAAAAGGGAGGAAAAAAAUUAAACCAAAGACCUCACCGAGUAACUCAACUGUAAACCCUAGAGAAUGAAGUCUGCCACACAUCCCCGUGGGGUUUCCACUAAUACUGCGGGCCGGGCGAAGCUUCAGGUCUCUGUGCGUUGUAGGAGAGGGCGUAUCAGCUAGCUACUGCUGUAUAACAAGCGAGCCCCAAACCACUGUAGCUUGCAAUGACUGCUUAAUUUUGCUUCAGGCUUGCCAGAUACUUCGGAUGACUUCGGCAGGCAGCGAGCGUUCCAUGAACUUUCUCGCACACCUGUGGGCUGUUGGUGGGUGGGCAGAGGGUAUUGGCUUCAUGUGGCUUCUUCUCCAGGAGGCUAACUAGGGUUUGUUCUUGUCUCAGGGGUUGGGUCCCUCACCACAAAGCAUAGGUAAGUCAUGCGUGUUGAAGCUAUGACUUUGGAAGUGGCUCCAAUACCAGGAGUGAGGAAAUGGGACCUGUCUCUUUGUGGGAGGGCUGUGAGCUCACAUGGAGGGCUCCAUGAUGUAUGAAUAGAUAUACAGGGGGAGGGGGAGUGUCCAUGCUGGGUGUCAGUCCCUCCGUGCAGCCUGGGGUGGCCUGGAUUUGAGGCUGGUGUGUGGGCUCCUGGGCUUGACUAGGGAUCAGAGUCACAAGCUGUGUAGUUCAAGGAGGACCGAGCCAAGCUCAACUCCAGUUGCAUGAUCAGCUUCACAGGGCCUGGCCUAGAACUGCAUACUCCUGUCUCCCUUCUUGAUUAGGGAUUGUUGUUCCUGGUUGCCCGGGAUGCCCCUGCCCUGCCCUGGCAGACUCUAAGGCCACACAGAAAAUCAUCCUAACCCACGUAGGAAAAAGAGGCUACAGAUCAGGAAACUGGUACAGAGGUCAGGAUGGUUGGCAAGAAGGAAACAGUGGGAGACGGAGGAGGGAUAUAAGGAAGGCAUGGGGCUGAAGGCUGGGUCUGGAAUAGAGCCUAACUUUAGUCCACCCAAGUUCAAGAGAAAAUGAUCACGGGGCCUGAAGUCUGCGUAGCUGCACCCACGUACUUGACUCAAAGGUGCAGGAGGGGUUCAAGGGAAUACAGAAUUCUGCAAUGAUCCACAUACUGAACACACUUCACGGCAGAGGUGCCCUGUGGGCCUCUGCCUUUCUGGAGAAAGCUGUGCAUAAUAGAAAGUUUUCACUUUUACUUUAUCACCACCCCAGAGACCCUUGGUGCACCUUAGUAGAAGGUGCCUUAGUGGGGAGGUCUGAGGCAGUUGGGGCUCCCAGGACGGCUAGGGUGGCUUUAGUCCUGGCUUUCAUCUGUGAACCUAUCUCCAGAGGGAGGGACCAGCCCAUGUGCGAGCGAGUCCUGUGCAUACAACCCUCAGUUGCCUGCCCCCAGAAGCCAGAGUUUGUAGCCAUUUAUUCAAGGGUCCUGGGGCUGUGGAAGCUCAGCUUCUCUUACUGUUUUCUUCCAAGUUGGGCUCAAAUCAGCCUUGCAUUUCUGCUUGACCGCGAGUUAUUUAAGGAUCUGGGUGCUUUUGAACGUCCAUAUCUGGGACUGUCACAAGACCUCAGGUCUCUGGACUCUGUGGUUGCUCCAGAGAACACCAAAACCCUAGAUGAUCAGUGUUUCUUCUGUUGGACAAGUCUGGGUUGUAUCUAUUCCAGGCUGGCCCGGCUCUGCCUCCUGCCCAUCUGGGAAGGCAGCCAGCUUGUAGUCUGAGGAAGCGAGGGUGCUCUGGGGCCAGGUGGAGGGACAGCAGGGUACCGGGUGCUUAUUUUUAGGAGCUUGUGGGUACUGCUGCCCACACUAGGUGGACAGGGACCCCUGAGCCGUCCUCGUGCCAGGGGAACGUAGCUUGGCAUUGGUCAGAACUACAGAUGGAUACCACCCCAGUCCUCACGGAUGCUGGUCUUGCCCCAGCUCCUCCCAUCUCUCCGGGUCUGAAGAGAAGGACGUGAGUUGUCAGCCUGUUCUGGGAUCUGGAGCCAGCACUGCCGCAAGGCAGAACUGAUAAACUAUAAGGCGUGUGUGUAAGGACCUUAGCUGUCAACCCACAUUGUCACCUUUAAGUCUCCUGGCUCAGGGAAGGUUCAGAGAUGCUGCAAACACAAACCUUUGUCCUCCACAGGUUGAAAAGCUGCCUGUGAGAACCUAGCCUUCUUUUGUGAUCCCGCUCUGUCUGGGCGCACACACACCAUACUAAGGAAGCCUCAUCAGGUCCUGCACGGGCCCCUGGCAGAAAGUAGACAGCACUCCAACAGUCCUGGGAAGCUGGCAGUCGAGUGACAUCCGGGACGUGUCGGGGGAGGUGAGAAGGCUCCAGAGAUGGCGUCUCCUCCAUGAGAACCCUCGGCUGGAAGCUUCUAGGCAUCGGGAUGUUUCCUACACAACUGGUGCUGGGCCUGCUCCAGUCUCUAGACAGAUGUCACAGGCCUUGGUGGCAUUUGUGUAUCGUCUCCCAUCUGCCUGCAGCGUCUCCUUCGUCCUUUUCUUGGCCUUGCAUGUGUUAGUCGAAGGAUAAAAACCGCUUGUCGGAGCUGCUUUGACCUCUCCUAAAAAGUAGAAAACCAGGUCAAUACUUUUCCCUUGGUGGCUUUGAGCUCUGUGGCAGAGCUAGGAAGGGGCUGGAGGGGGUCACAGAGGAUCCCAAAGAGUUCCCCAGGUCUUGACUCUGGGGUGAAAUCGUCCAAUUAGAGCGCAUUAGUUGCCAGGGUGUUAGAACAUUAGGAACUAUUAGGCUGCUCCGCCUGUGGCUCCUGACCUGGCAGGGAAGGCGUCUCUGGGCUGUGGCUAGCCCUUCUGAGGGGUGAGACAGGAUGACCCUGUGGGGGUCAUCUCCAGAGCAUCGGGGUGGCCACAUGAACUGAAGACUAGCUGGUUGUGUCCAGGUCAUGUCUUAUUGUCCUACGGCGGUGGCAGUCUCCCAGAAUCCCAGCCCUCAGGAGGCAGAGACGGGAAUCGCUAGAGCAAGCCGGCUAACUCACUUACAUACAUACAUACAUACAUACAUACAUACAUACAUACAUACAUACAUACAUUCAUUCAUACACACACAUACAGUCAUACAUACAUACAUACAUACAUACAUACAUACAUACAUACGUACGUACGUACGUACGUACAUACAUACAUACAUACAUACAUGUGUGCACGGGUAGUUUAAAACAAGAUAUGGUUAUUCUCAAUCUGUCCCGGAGGUCAGAAGCCCCAGAGCAGGAGAGUUGCAGAGGCAACCUAUGCGCAGGGCCCUUCAGAGCUCCUGUAACGGUGGCCACAGUGCUUGUGGCUUGUGGCUGCAUCUUUCCCACCCUGGCCUCUCUAUGACAUGGUUGCGCCACACCCACCCACCCAAUGUGUACGCCUGAUUCUACCCACUUUCAUCCAUUAAGCACCCUGUCAUUGUCUUCGGCCCCUACCUAGGACAGACUCCUCCCAACUGGAUGGUGCCUAUGAAGUUCCUGUUUUUAUGUGUGUUCUGUCACAAGGAUUGGGAGCUAGGAUGUGAAUAUGCCUUUGGGGAACAUAAUUCUAAAUCCAGUAUCCUCCAUGGUUGCUGGGGCAAGGAGAGUCCCAGCGCUGUAACCCUCAGUGGGCCACUCAGACGCUGGGCUCUCUGGUGUCCUCGGGAACACCACUUUGCCUGUUUGAAGACGGUGAUAAGGAAGGAAGAAGGAGUCACUCUGUGACACAAAGAUGGGUGCAGGAGCCACGAGAGCAAUGUCUUGGUCUGUUGCCAUAGCUGAGUACCUGAGACUGGGCGGCGUACAAAGAAAAUAAAUAUUUCAUAUGGUUCUGGAGUAGAAGUCCAAGAACACGGUGCCAGAAACCAGGGAGGCCUUCCUGCAGCAUCAUGGCAGGCAAGACCAAGCGGGCAUUGACACUUGGAUCUCUCUCUCUGUGUAAAGUCACUAAUGCUACCCUCAUGGCUUCACCAAACCCUAAUUCCUUCCCAAAGGACGUACACCAGAUAGCAUUAAUAUAGACAGGGGAGAAUGAGUUUCAGUGUAAGAAUUUGAAAGACACAUUCCAACCAUAAGUGAAGUCUUGAGAACUCCCAAGACCCAGGUAGUUGGGGGUCGGGGAAGUGUUGCUGGUAUUGAUUGGCUAAGAACUUGGCCACACCCUUUCCAUAUCCCAUAAUACCAUGGUAUGCAUUUGUUGUGUGUGCAUGUAUGCCUAUGUGCUUGCACACAUGUGGGCUUGUAUGUAUGUAAGUAAGUAUGUAUGUAUGUAUGUAUGUAUGUAUGUAUGUAUAUGUGUAUAUAUCUGUGUGUUUACAUGCAUGUGGGCUAGCCAGUUUGCUCCAGGGAUCCCGUAUCUCUGCCUCCUGAGGACUGGAACUCUGGAAGGCUGCCACAUCUGCCUGGCUUGAUGUGGAGUCUGUGGAUCCGAAUUCUAAUCCUCACACGUGCAUAAGAAGCACUUUAUCCGGUGAGUUCUCUGCGUAAUCCGGAAACCAUCUUGAGAGUGAAGUAGCUGGGCCUUAAUCUAACUCUUCACAACAUGAUUCCAAGCACAAACUUUCAUACACGAAGAGAGAAACCGGGGUCCUGCCAUUCAAGGUCUUCUCAGAAAGGACUGAAUAGAGCAUCUUAGAGGGAGUUAGGGAGGGGUGCUGAGCAAGGGAGGGAGGAAGCGUCCCUGGAGGAAGAGGAAGUGGGCUUAAGUAUCAGAGUGGACAGACAAGUGCUGGGAGUUAGGGCUGCAGCAGGCCCGGCAGAUAUGGAGAUCAGAGGUAGUGGCUGGGAGAAGGCCGAGUGGAAGCUCUGGGACUAAGGACUCCAUAGCGGAAAAAUUCAUGGAUGGCCCAUGAGGGCUCUAGGAGACAGAAUAAAUGCCAUUGGGAAAGAGAACAGAGGUGAUGGAGGAGUAGGAGCUCCAAGCUGCAUCCAGGUUCACAUGUUGGACUCACAGGAGAGUCAAGCAUCCUUAGGGACACUGGUCUCUGUCCUCUCUGUGCCUAUGCAUCCCACUUUCUCUCAAGAUGAUGAACUAUCUGUGGACAAGGGCCGUCUUCAGGGAGAGCCACUGUCUACAGAAGGAGGGGAGCAACUAUGCUGGUCCAUCAGGGUAGAGUCAACACAGAACAGCACUCUGGGUUUGGGCAGCCCUGACCCACAGCAAUUAUGAACAGAAGUUGUGACUAAAAGGCACACUGUGGACAGAGAGACAGGAGUAGUUCUUUGUGGGUCUGUCUACAUCUCGUGAUUCCAGGGUCAGAUGUCUCAUCAUGGAAAGCCAUGAGACUCUCCUAUCCAUGUUAUGUGAGUCUCAGACAUGGGGUUCACUGGUGUGACUCUCAGAUGGGAACCCAGCUGACGUCUCUGUGUCUGGCUGCAUAGGGUCCCCGUUCUGUCCUUCUGCACAGACACAGCACACCAUUAGAGGGACAGUUGUGAUUCCACUCCGGGAGUGGUCAUCAGUGGGGCCUGUACCAAUUGGGAGAAAGUUGUUUGUUAUGGUCUGCAAGUGUUUCAAAGGCACCUGUGUUCAGAGGAGGAGGGACUGGCAUGCGCCCAAGGAAGGGAGAACACAGAGGAGGGGACAGCACAAGUUUGGCUUGAGCUGUAUUUGUGUGUAUGUGUAUGUGUGUGUAUGUGUAUGUGUGUGUGUGUGUAUGUGUGUGUGUGUAUGUGUGUGUAUGUGUGUGUAUGUGUGUGUGUGUAUGUGUGUGUAUGUAAGUAAUGACAAUAUGUUGUAGGCGUGUGUUUGUAUGUGUUGUGUGUGCAAAUGCAUGUUAUGUAUAUGUAUGUGUACACAUGCACAUAUGUGUGUAUGUGUGUGCUCCUGCAUGUGUGUGUGAUGACAAUAUGUUGUAGGCGUGUGUUUGUAUGUGUUGUGUGUGCAAAUGCAUGUUAUGUAUAUGUAUGUGUACACAUGCACAUAUGUGUGUAUGUGUGUGCUCCUGCAUGUGUGUGUGAUGACAAUAUGUUGUAGGCAUGUGUGUUUGUAUGUGUUGUGUGUAUAUGUGUGUGUACACAUGCAUGUAUGUGUGAGCUCCUGCGUGUGUGCGGUAGAAGAGGAAACAAGGGAGAGACAGUGUCACCCUGUCCUCUGCCGGGACAGACAGCUCCAUCCUUGACUUCACACCAUCGAAUGCUGAUGAGCUAUGGCUGGAAGUGCAGGACGAGGCCUCCUGCGGUUACCACUGGGCGUCGAUCAUGUUGUAACCACCCUGGCAGGACCUGAGGGCAAUCAAAGCUAAACCCACGUUCAACAAAAUUCAAGUAGGAUGCUCCCCACAUGCCACGAGGGGAGCUUCUGGGCUCAGAGCCCCUCAAACAGUGCAGAAGGCUUGGGAAUUAAUUCCUCAAGGUGACCUGCUCGUGGAGUACAGCCCACCUUGUCUGGAAUGUUCGUCAUUCCAAGGGUUGCGGGUGUCAUCGCCUUGUUAGGCAUCACAACUCAGAAAACAGGACCACGGGACAAUGAGAGCACUGGAACGUUCGAAUCAUCACCUCGGUCCUCCAGCACUGACGCUCAGAGUGUGCAUGCUGGACGACUCAGGUCAACACUACUCAAAGCAAGGUCCACACGCAGGCCCCGUGAGUCAGGGCUCCUAGCCCCGAGAUUGAACACCGCACUUGAGAACGGUGCACUAAUCCAUUUUCUAUUUCUAUAGAUAAAUUCCCGAGACUGAACAACUUUAUAAAGCCAAGAAAUGUAUCUAGUCCUAGAGAUUUAAGGCAGUACUGGCACCAGCUCAGCUCUGAAGAGGACCAGUCUUCUGGCAGAGAUCUCGGUGGCAGAUGCGUGCAUGGGAGGGAGAGGUCACACAUCCAGACAGGAAGUCAGAGGGGAGAGGGAUCUAGUACAAUAGCUCAUACUUAAUAAGAUGUGAGUCAGAGUCCUAUGAGAGUUACCCCAAUCUUUUCUGAGGUCAGGACCCCAAUGACCCAUGAGGACCCACCUCCUAAAGAGCUCAGCGCCUCAAAACAUUGCCUCACCGGGGACAAGCUCCUCCCAACACAUGAACUUCGGUGUUGAUGAUGAUGAUGGUGGUGGUGUUGAUGAUGAUGGUAGUGGUGGCGAUGGUGGUGGUGGUGUUGGUGGUGGCGGCGGCCGUAGUAGUGGCAGGGACACACAUUCUAACUACUAUAACAAUCAACAUUUAUAUUCUUUUAUAACAUACGAAGUGGAAUUUUAACUGUAAAAUAUACGAAGUUAGUCUUGCCUACGGGAAUUAGAACCAUAACUGCAGAGGGUUUGAAAGGACUCACAAAACUGGUGUUUACCUAGGUGUGGUUGCUACUGGGUAUGUCCUGCAUGGUGUUCUGGUUGGUGUUAGAGAAUGCUUGGCAUUAUGGGAAGGCCUAGAGUCGGCUACGGCUUCCGUACCAAGCAGCCUACACUGGGGCCCCGAGGCCCCACCAAUUCACCUCCUAGCAGUUUGGAGCUUGAGAUUAAGAUGUUGGCAGGGUUGGGCUCCAAGCUUCCACUGGGCUGUGGAAGCCAUGUUCUCUGGCUUCCCAAGCUCUUCCUUCUGUUCCUGUCCUCAUCUCUUGGGAAUACGUGGUCAGAUUGGAGCAGGACCCACGUGGUGAACCUCACCCUCUUCAGCUCUCACAGGUUGUCUCCAAAUCCACUGACUAAGCGUUGAUGAUUGGGAUUUUUAUAUUGAGAUUUUUUUUUUGAGACAGUCUCAGCAUGUAGCCCUGGCUGGCCUGAAACUCACUAUGUAGGCUGACCUCAAGCACUCAAAGAUAGCCGUCUUUAGCUCCUCGGUGCCGAAGCUAAAGACGUGCACCACCACGGGCUUAGACGAUGGGUUUUUUAAUGUAAUUUAGUUUAGCCCAGGAAGGUGCAUGAGAAUUCGCUGCUGUAUUUUUACAACUAAUAACCGGUCUUCUAUCAUUUCAAUAUUUAACGUGCAGGGUUAAUUUUUGUCAAGGUUUUACACUGUAGCCCAGGCUGGCUGCAGCUUAGAGUAAACUCUUCUGCUCAACCCCAAGUGUGGGGUUUAUAGACGUGCACCACCACACCUGGACAGGGGGUAUAGGUGUACAUCACCGUACCUGGCUCCAAAAUAUAUCCCUUUUCCUCAUUGCUACUGUGGCAUGUGUGGAUGAGCCCUAGCAGGCUCAUGUGUGUCAACCUCCAUAGAACUGGGGAUUCUGUGGGUCCCUGGUCUGGUUGGAAAUGACCAAAGUGUCACAGCUCUCAGAAGGGAAGCCCAUAUAGGGCAGGUAGCCAGGGUCCCAGGUCUUGCUUGAGACCGGGGACAGCCGUGGCAGCACCAAUGAGACUUGAGCCCGGCCAGCCAGGUGGGUCCGAGGUCCAGUGAUGAAUGCUUUGUAAAACAAACUCUUCCCUAAAGUGAUACAGCUCAGUAAAACAGCCGCUCUCAGGUGGCUCUUGGAGAAAUAUCUUCGUACUUUAUUCCACAUGGGUAGGGACUUUAUAAACAUUGAGGAGUAGGGCGGGAUCUGGGGGAAGAUAGAUGCUUCCCAUUGGCUCAGUUUGAGAUGUUAACGAUGCUCUAUUUGCAUGGGGGAAGGGCUUCAGGUGUUUUCCCUACAAGGCUGUCAUGGUGCAGUGGAGGGUCAUGGUUAUGUGUUCUAGAGCAGGUGGAGUUUGGCAGGGAGCUGGCCCCAUGCCUACCAUACUUAAUUCUGAGAUCUGCGGGUUUGGGCUCACUCAGCCUUACCAGAUCGAUCAUCUGUCUGGUGCAACGGUCCACUUGCGUACACACACACACACACACACACACACACACACACACACGUGUGUUCUGGGGUUCGACACCUGGGAUAGAUGACAAGUAUUCUUGGCUCUUUUUUCUCUGCUGCCUAUGGCAGUGGGAAGAUGGUCACAGAUGGCACUGGAUGACCUUUUAGAGUGAUGGAGUCACCUGGUCCUGAGCCCCUCCUUCUCCUCAGUCCUUUGGUCUAUCGUGGUCCUGGCUUCUGCUUCUCUGAAUGUAGCUCUGUGUGUGUGUGUGUGUGUCUGUGUGUGUGUGUCUGUGUGUGUCUGUGUAGGUCUCCAAGAUGGCCCUAAGAUCGCUUUUUGAAAGGGUGCUAUUGUGCUUUCUGUAAUUAUAUUGUUUUGUAUCUUGUUAUUGUUGAGAAAGGCUUUCGCUCUGUACCCCAGGCUGGCCUUGAACUCCUGGUAAUCUUCCUGCCCCAGUCCCCUGAGUGCUGGGUUUGCAGGCGUCAGCUGCCAUCCUACCUUUGUUCUUUGAUCUGCCCUGGGGAGACCCUGUUCCAGAAGAUACCUUCUUCCUUCCUGACAUGUAGCAUGGGUGGGAAUCCUAGGACUCAUGGCUCUCUUCGCUGUGUUUGCUUUGAUGCCUAGGACUUUUGCUAACCCAGGCUAAAAUCUCUGUUCUACUUUCCCCCUGCCAUUAACGGAGUAUAACGGAAGCGGGUGAUGUGAUUUUUUGUGGUGAACACGUAGGUGCCUGUCAGAGCUGGAACACACCUCCACACACGUGAUGGGCUGUGUGCAGGGGAGAGGAGAUUACAUGGCUUGUCUUGGAUGAUGGAGAGGCACGUGGCACUGUGCUGGAGGUGUGCAUUUUCUCUCUGAGGGGCUCCCAAAGAGGGGCGAUAUUAAAGCUCUACCCCCAGGGAACCGGGCAUCUGCUUCCAGAAAGGGGCCAAAGGAAGCAUUGGCAUUUCCCUGAAAUCUUCUUUGUUAUUCUAAAGCACACGCACAUCGUACAUGGAAGCCACGGUGUGCCUUUGCUGGCUGCAAUGUUACAGCAUCCUCUCACAGAAUAUUCAACUAAAGUCAGUGCUUCAGACAAACGCAGUUCUUUGCCUGUGGGUGAUCUGUCUCCUCACCCUCCAUCCCCGAGGCCAAGGACGGGGUGGGAAUGGAACCCUAGUUUGAGAAGCCCUUGGUAGGGCUGCAUGGGAGAGUUGCUAUGUGAGUUGUGUGUCGAAGGGUGGUCUAGACUAGAAGAACGCGAUUACUGUCUCCACAUGACAUUUUACCAGGCUAUAUAUGAUACUGUGACAUUUUGCAGAAGUCCCAUAGAGAAUAGCAGCCACAUGAACACAGGCACCUCAAGCCUAUCUCGCCCACCAGCUGUGGUAUCUGCUGGUACGAGUCUCAUCGCUCACCCUCUAUCCAGUAGGGCAAGGAUGUGGCGUGGAAUCCACUGAGGUGCACGGAUGAGGAAGGGACCCAUGGGAACUAGAUGAAGUGAAAACAGAGUUUCAGUUUCACGGAGCCUUUCAGCUCUCGAGGAGGAUUUUCCUGUGAGUGCGGGCUAAGUGUCAGGGUGAUGUAGGAUGGGCCAAGUACAGGUUUCCUUGAGGAAAUCUAUGGUCUGGAGAACACAGACGUGUGGGAACCUCCAAGCUGGGCUCAGUUAGUACUCCAAGUACCCAGGAAGCAUGAGGUCAUGCAAGAGUAAGGGCCGGUGUAAUCUAGAGGAGGAAAGGUGACCCAUUCCCUCCCCCACACCAGACCAUCCACCAGACUCCAUUCACAUUUAGUCAUGGGUCCUGGACACACAGUCACUGACUCGGAACACCUGGUCCCAGUGGAAAGGGUCCCAUCAGGAAACCUCAGGCAGUGUUUUAGAGAUGAGGUUCAACUGCUUACAGACUGGACAAGAGAGAGAUCUAAGCACUGAGAUCAACGAAGCCUACAGGGCAUCAGAAGAGCAGUGAGCAAUCAAGCAAUGACUAACAAUGUACAGAGAGG